GAUGAAGAACGUAGCGAAAUGCGAUAAGUAAUGUGAAUUGCAGAAUUCAGUGAAUCAUCGAAUCUUUGAACGCACCUUGCGCUCCUUGGUAUUCCGAGGAGCAUGCCUGUUUGAGUGUCAUGAAAUUCUCAACCUUUCUGGCUUUUGCUAGUCAGGCUUGGAUUAUGGGAGCUGCUGGCUUUUGAAGUCGGCUCUUCUAAAAUGUAUUAGCAAGAUCUUUGCUGCUCAUCAUUGGUAUGAUAAUUAUCUAUAUCAUUGAGAGUCAGUUUCCUUUAUUGGAAGAUUUUGCUCCUAACGGUCUUUAGCAAGACAACAUUUGACGAUUUUGACCUCAAAUCAGGUAGGACUACCCGCUGAACUUAAGCAUAUCAAUAAGCGGAGGA
rnacentral:misc_RNA from 1 species